rnacentral:rRNA from 1 species
GAUGAACGCUGGCGGCGUGCCUAAUACAUGCAAGUCGAGCGAACGGACGAGAAGCUUGCUUCUCUGAUGUUAGCGGCGGACGGGUGAGUAACACGUGGAUAACCUACCUAUAAGACUGGGAUAACUUCGGGAAACCGUAGCUAAUACCGGAUAAUAUUUUGAACCGCAUGGUUCAAAAGUGAAAGACGGUCUUGCUGUCACUUAUAGAUGGAUCCGCGCUGCAUUAGCUAGUUGGUAAGGUAACGGCUUACCAAGGCAACGAUGCAUAGCCGACCUGAGAGGGUGGUCGGCCACACUGGAACUGAGACACGGUCCAGACGCCUACGGGAGGCAGCAGUAGGGAAUCUUCCGCAAUGGGCGGAAGCCUGACGGAGCAACGCCGCGUGAGUGAUGAAGGUCUUCGGAUCGUAAAACUCUGUUAUUAGGGAAGAACAUAUGUGUAAGUAACUGUGCACAUCUUGACGGUACCUAAUCAGAAAGCCACGGCUAACUACGUG